rnacentral:rRNA from 1 species
UCGGGAAUAUUGCGCAAUGGAGGAAACUCUGACGCAGUGACGCCGCGUGCAGGAAGAAGGUUUUCGGAUUGUAAACUGCUUUAGACAGGGAAGAAAGAAAUGACGGUACCUGUAGAAUAAGCUCCGGCUAACUACGUGCCAGCAGCCGCGGUAAUACGUAGGGAGCAAGCGUUAUCCGGAUUUAUUGGGUGUAAAGGGUGGGUAGACGGGUAUACAAGUUAGUAGUGAAAUCCCUCGGCUUAACUGAGGAACUGCUACUAAAACUAUAUAUCUUGAGUACUGGAGGGAAAGCGGAAUUCCUAGUGUAGCGGUGAAAUGCGUAGAUAUUAGGAAGAACACCGGUGGCGAAGGCGGCUUUCUGGACAGAAACUGACGUUGAGGCACGAAAGUGUGGGGAGCAAACAGGAUUAGAUACC